rnacentral:rRNA from 1 species
GAUGAGCGCUGGCGGCGUGCUUAACACAUGCAAGUCGAACGGAAAGGCCCAAGCUUUCUUGGGUACUCGAGUGCCGAACGGGUGAGUAACACGUGGGUGAACUGCCCUUCACUUCGUGAUAUGCCUGGGAAACUCGGUCUAAUACCGGAUAGGACCUCAUUUUGGAUGGUGUGGUGGAAAGUUUUUCGGUGUGGGUUGAGCUCGCGGCCUAUCAGCCUGUUGGUGGGGUAAUUGCCUACCAAGGCGCCGACGGGUAGCCGGCCUGAGAGGGUGUACGGCCACAUUGGAACUGAGAGACGGCCCAGACUACUACGGGAGGCAGCAGUGGGGAAUAUUGGACAAAGCGAGCCAGCCUGAUGCAGCGACGCCGCGGGGGGGAUGACGGCCUUCGUGUUGUAAACUCCUUUCGCUAGGGACGAAGCGUUUUUGUGACGGUACCUGGAGAAGAAGCACCGGCUAACUACGUG